GCGCCGCUAGCUCAAUGGAUAGAGCACCAGACUUCGGAUCUGGCGGUUCGGGGUUCGAGUCCCUGGCGGCGCGCCA
rnacentral:tRNA from 1 species